rnacentral:tRNA from 1 species
GGGGAUAUAGCUCAGUUGGUAGAGUGCUUGUCUCACAUGCACAAGGCCCUGGGUUCAAUACCCAGCACCA